GCCGGGCGUGGUGGUGCACGCCUGUAAUCCCAGCUACUUGGGAGGCUGAGGCAGCAGAAUCGCUUGAACCUGGGAGGUGGAGGUUGCAGCGAGUCAAGUGCUACUGCACUCCAGCCUGGGCAACAGAGCGAGACUCUGUCUCAA
ensembl:misc_RNA Metazoa_SRP Metazoan signal recognition particle RNA